CGGGGCGUGGCGCAGCCCGGUAGCGCACUCGCUUGGGGUGCGAGGGGUCGUGGGUUCAAAUCCCGCCGCCCCGACCA
rnacentral:tRNA from 1 species